rnacentral:rRNA from 1 species
GAUGAACGCUGGCGGCGUGCCUAAUACAUGCAAGUCGAGCGAACAGAUGAGGAGUUUGCUCCUCUGACGUUAGCGGCGGACGGGUGAGUAACACGUGGAUAACCUACCUAUAAGACUGGGAUAACUUCGGGAAACCGGAGCUAAUACCGGAUAAUAUAUUGAACCGCAUGGUUCAAUAGUGAAAGACGGCUUUGCUGUCACUUAUAGAUGGAUCCGCGCCGCAUUAGCUAGUUGGUAAGGUAACGGCUUACCAAGGCAACGAUGCGUAGCCGACCUGAGAGGGUGAUCGGCCACACUGGAGCGUGAACACGGUCCAGACUCCUACGAGAGGGAGCAGUAGGGAAUCGGCCGCAAUAGGCGAGAGCCUGGCGGAGCAACGCCGCGUGAGUGAUGAAGGUCUUCGGAUCGUAAAACUCUGUUAUGAGGGAUAAACAAAUGUGUAAGUAGAUGUGCACGUCUUGACGGUACCUAAUCAGAAAGCCACGGCUAACUACGUG